AGCCAGACUCCUACGGGAGGCAGCAGUGAGGAAUAUUGGUCAAUGGGCGGGAGCCUGAACCAGCCAAGUCGCGUGAGGGAUGACGGUCCUAUGGAUUGUAAACCUCUUUUGUCAGGGAGCAAAGGGCGCCACGUGUGGCGUUUUGCGAGUACCUGAAGAAAAAGCAUCGGCUAACUCCGUGCCAGCAGCCGCGGUAAUACGGAGGAUGCGAGCGUUAUCCGGAUUUAUUGGGUUUAAAGGGUGCGCAGGCGGAAUGUCAAGUCAGCGGUAAAAUUUCGGGGCUCAACCCCGUCGUGCCGUUGAAACUGGCGUUCUUGAGUGAGCGAGAAGUAUGCGGAAUGCGUGGUGUAGCGGUGAAAUGCAUAGAUAUCACGCAGAACUCCGAUUGCGAAGGCAGCAUACCGGCGCUCAACUGACGCUCAUGCACGAAAGCGUGGGUAUCGAACAGGAUUAGAUACCUC
rnacentral:rRNA from 1 species